CAAGCACUAGCCCAACCCCCUCAAAACCCAACUUAAACAGACAAAUAAAACAAAACAUUUAUAUUCAUAAAAGUAUAGGAGAUAGAAAUUCUACUAUGGCGCUAUAGAGAUAGUACCGCAAGGGAACGAUGAAAGACAAGCUAUAAGUAAAAAACAGCAAAGAUUACCCCUUUUACCUUUUGCAUAAUGAAUUAACUAGCAACACUUAGCAAAGAGAACUUAAGCUAAGCACCCCGAAACCAGACGAGCUACCUAUAAACAGCUUUACUUAGAGCAAACCCGUCUAUGUGGCAAAAUAGUGGGAAGAUUUAUAGUUAGAGGUGAAAAGCCUACCGAGCCUGGUGAUAGCUGGUUGUCCAGAAAAGAAUGUCAGUUCAAAUUUAAACCUUACCUGAAAAACCAACAAUUAUAAUGUAAGUUUAAAGAAUAGUCUAAAGAGGGACAGCCCUUCAGACACAGGAUACAACCUUAAUUAGAGAGUAAGCAUUAACAACACCAUAGUUGGCCUAAAAGCAGCCACCAAUUAAGAAAGCGUUAAAGCUCAACAAUACCAUCAUCUUAAUACCCAAAAUAAAAACCAACUCCUAAUGCACAACUGGACUAUUCUAUUAUCAAAUAGAAGCAAUACUGUUAAUAUGAGUAACAAGAAUUAUUUCUCCCAGCACAAACCUAUAUCUGAACGGAUAACCCACUGAUAAUUAACAAUAAGAUGCCUACGCCCCAAAAACAAGACCACCAUCACCCAAAUUGUUAACCCAACACAGGAGUGCACUCAAGGAAAGAUUAAAAGAAGUAAAAGGAACUCGGCAAACACAAACCCCGCCUGUUUACCAAAAACAUCACCUCUAGCAUAAUAAGUAUUAGAGGCACUGCCUGCCCAGUGACACAAGUUAAACGGCCGCGGUAUCCUGACCGUGCAAAGGUAGCAUAAUCACUUGUUCUCUAAAUAAGGACUUGUAUGAAUGGCCACACGAGGGUUUUACUGUCUCUUACUUCCAAUCAGUGAAAUUGACCUUCCCGUGAAGAGGCGGGAAUACCCUAAUAAGACGAGAAGACCCUAUGGAGCUUCAAUUAACUAGCCCAAUAGAACUAUUACUACAAACCAACAGGCCCUAAAACGACUCUCUAUGAGCUAGCAAUUUAGGUUGGGGUGACCUCGGAGCACAAAAAAACCUCCGAGUGAUUAAAGCCUAGACCAACCAGUCAAAGCACCUUACAUCACUUAUUGAUCCAAAAACUUUGAUCAACGGAACAAGUUACCCUAGGGAUAACAGCGCAAUCCCAUUCAAGAGUCCAUAUCGACAAUGGGGUUUACGACCUCGAUGUUGGAUCAGGACAUCCCAAUGGUGUAGCAGCUAUUAACGGUUCGUUUGUUCAACGAUUAAAGUCCUACGUGAUCUGAGUUCAGACCGGAGUAAUCCAGGUCGGUUUCUAUCUAUUCUAAACUUCUCCCAGUACGAAAGGACAAGAGAAGUAAGGCCCACUUUACAAAAGCGCCUUAAAGCCAACAGAUGAUUUAAUCUCAAUCUGGUACGCUAAGACUACCCUGCCCAAGAAAAGGGCUU
rnacentral:rRNA from 1 species